UGUGUGCCUGCGUGCGUGUGUGCCUGCGUGCGUGCGUGCGUGUGUGCCUGCGUGCGUGUGUGCCUGCGUGCGUGAGUGCGUGUGUGCCUGCGUGCGUGCGUGAGUGCGUGUGUGCCUGCGUGCGUGCGUGAGUGCGUGUGUGCCUGCGUGCGUGUGUGUUAUGAGUAAGGUAAAUGACUGCCUUGCUCUCUUUAGCAGUAGAGCAUCAUGCUUUUCUUUUUUUCAGUGAUACACCCUUGUUUUUAUAAUUUCAUUUAUUUCACAAAAGGUUUACAGGGAGUUUUCAUGGCAUCCCUCCAUUUUGUGUUUCAUUCCUGUUGGUUUUGUCUUUGCUUUAAAAUGGCCUCCUGGUCUUUCCAGCUAUUGUGUCCUUGUUUUCAGAUUCUCUUUUUCCUUUUUUGUAAUUUCUAUGUUCCACCACAUGGACCAAUCAUACACAACUAUUUUCUUAUUUAUUGUUGUGGGGUAUCAUAAGUAUCCAUGGCAUUUAUUGCUGAAGUUAAUAAAGAAAAUAAUAUAUGAAUCGAAUGUCUUGAAUGCAAGAGGGAAAGGGGUAACAUAUAGUCUCAUGAGCAAGUUAUUUUGCCAAGCUGAAAUCAUUCCAAAGCAUCUUUUAACAUGAAUGUGCUUUUAUAUUUGGUCUUUGUCGAGUUGAUUGUGUGUAGGGUGUUAAUGUGAUGCCUGUCUAGUUUCCUUCAUUGACUAUGCUUUCGAUUUAUAGUGGGGUCCUUCUAUUCAUGAAUGGCAGGGAUGGUUGCUUCUGGUCAUUCCCCAUCUAUUGAAGUGUUACUUUGAUUAUUGUACAUUAAAAGGGACCAUUUUGAAUUCGCCUCACUUUAAAAGCAUCAUGUUUGUAAGGAGAGGGGAAAAAAAGCUUGCUCAACCAAAUCAAAAUAUGAAUGUAGAUUUCAGCACAGAAAUAAAAAGGUUUUGAUCAGAGGCAUGACAAUAUGAUGGUUGAUGGUAUUGAUGCUGUUUGUGUCCCAUUGUGUCCUAUCAAACCAUAACCCAUUAGCUGGUAACAAUUUAUUCAGAUUCACGAUCGUUCUUAGUUUGUGAAUUAUUAGAGUCACAUGUAUUGCAAAAUGAGACUAAAGCUCCUCAGACCAUGAACCAGAGUAACUUAAAUGUCUGUUUUUCUUUAUAUAUGUGCUAUACAAACCUAAAAACAAAUGGGGCAUAAGAGAUGCAAUAUUACCUUGUGGGAUGUACGCAUUAAUGAGAAGCUAAAGUAAAAUGCUUUACCCUUCAGUAAGAUGUGGACUGUCUCCGUAGUACAACUGUAACUUGUUUGUUUUCUACAAAUUAUGUAAAAGCAUCAACUAUUGAACCCAGACCAAACUGUGCGAACAUGUUAGAUCAACCCUGAAACUUUCCCUAAUAUAAAUUGCCCGUGAAGAUUGGUGUUCACAUAUCCAGGUGAUGAAGAAACACGACACCCAUGUUUGGCUGUACAUUUCCACAUUGAAUCUGGACCAUGGCUGCUCUUGCUGACUUAAUCAUUCUAAAACCGUGUUCACUUUCUGCUGAAACAAACCAUUUAAUAGUUUCCAAGAAAGCUUUUUUUUUUUUUCUUCGAUUCUGUUUUUGUAUUUUCUGAAGUGAAAUGUAUGACCAUUAAAACAAUCAUUACAAGGA
ensembl:lncRNA